GAUGAAAACGUAGCGAAAUGCGAUAAGUAAUGUGAAUUGCAGAAUUCAGUGAAUCAUCGAAUCUUUGAACGCACAUUGCGCCCGCCAGUAUUCUGGCGGGCAUGCCUGUCCGAGCGUCAUUUCAACCAUCAAGCCCCGGGCUUGUGUUGGGGACCUGCGUCCGACGCAGGCCCCGAAAACCAGUGGCGGGCUCGCUGUCCACACCGAGCGUAGUAGCUAACCUCGCUCCGGAGUGGCGCGGGCGCCUGCCGUAAAACCCCCCCAAUUUUACAAGGUUGACCUCGGAUCAGGUAGGAAUACCCGCUGAACUUAAGCAUAUCAAUAAGCGGAGGA
rnacentral:misc_RNA from 1 species